rnacentral:lncRNA from 1 species
AAGGGCGGGGACAGACGCCCUGGGACCCUGGACCCAGAGACUCAGAGGGGCUCAGACUCCGAGCCCCGCUGAAAGCUGGAGUUAGACUCAGGCUCGUCCCUAGAUGCUGCCAAGGCAGCUUGUCCCCUUCAGCGCUGGAUCCGGGUCAGACUUUUGCAGGAUGGCACGUCCACCUUCUGAAAUAGGAUUAUUCAGACAGCCUUUGCUCAAGAUGUUCAACUGCCCUCGCACACGAAGAAAGGAAUCGAGGCCUUAGAACCCCACUUGGAGGCUCCCUGUAUAACAGAGACAUUCUAACCAUGGCAGAGCCCCUUUCCUUCCCUCAUGGGCUCAAGGUUUCGCAUAUGGAAGUCAGAAGGACCUGACUAUUUCUUCUUUUGAUAUUCCUCCAAGCUCCAGUGAUUUUUGAAUUUCAUAUUUGAUGCCAAGUGUUUAAAGCUGGAAAAAGGAGGGGAGACUAAUUAUAAACAGAACUUACCUGACUAAAAUCUCGGGGGAAUCGAGAGAAAUGACUCAAAUAUUUUGUGAUUCUAAAAAAAUCAAAAGUGCAUUCUUUUGUGGCAAUUAUGAGCUAGGCUGAGAAAUAAACAUUUGUUCUCCUUUUCUGCC